UCCCUUGUAGCUCAGUUAGUAAAGAAUCUGCCUGCAAUGCAGGAGACCUGGGUUCGAUUCCUGGGUUGGGAA
rnacentral:tRNA from 1 species